CCUACGGGCGGCAGCAGUGGGGAAUAUUGCACAAUGGGGGAAACCCUGAUGCAGCGACGCCGCGUGAGUGAAGAAGUAUUUCGGUACGUAAAGCUCUAUCAGCAGGGAAGAAAAUGACGGUACCUGACUAAGAAGCCCCGGCUAACGACGUGCCAGCAGCCGCGGUAAUAAGUAGGGGGCAAGCGGUAUCCGGAUUUACUGGGUGGAAAGGGAUCGUAGACGACAGCGCAAGUCUGGAGUGAAAUCCCAUGGCUUAACCAUGGAACUGCUUUGGAAACUGUGCAGCUGGAGUGCAGGAGAGGUAAGCGGAAUUCCUAGUGUAGCGGUGAAAUGAGUAGAUAGUAGGAGGAACACCAGUGGCGAAGGCGGCUUACUGGACUGUAACUGACGUUGAGGCUCGAAAGCGUGGGGAGCAAACAGGAUUAGAUACCCGUGUACUC
rnacentral:rRNA from 1 species